rnacentral:lncRNA from 1 species
UAUAAAUUUAAGAAAAAAUUUCAAAAAACCCCCCGUGGUUUCACACUUUCUUAUUUUAGUAUUCUGUGGCUUAAAGUGUAUCAAUUUGCCCCCCUGUAAUUUUAUUUUUCUCUUUUUAGUAUCAAUUUUAUUUUUAUUUUUUUUUAAAUCAGUGACAAAGUUAAAAUUAAAGGAUAUUAAAGUAAAUACUCGAUAAAUCUAGGUGGGUAUCUAAAGUUUUUUGUAUAUAGUUUAACAAAAUAUUAAGAAUAAAGCUGCCGAAAAGAUAAAAACAAAACCACAAGGGGGCAAAAAAAUGAGAAAGUGCGCAAUCACAAGGGGGGGGGGGGAUUUUUAAAGUUUUU